rnacentral:rRNA from 1 species
UACGGAGGAUCCGAGCGUUAUCCGGAUUUAUUGGGUUUAAAGGGUGCGUAGGCGGCUAAUUAAGUCAGCGGUGAAAUUCCACAGCUCAACUGUGUGAACUGCCAUUGAUACUGGUUGGCUUGAGUACAGAUGAGGUAGGCGGAAUUGACAGUGUAGCGGUGAAAUGCUUAGAUAUUGUCAAGAACACCUAUUGCGAAGGCAGCUUACUAAACUGUAACUGACGCUGAGGCACGAAAGCGUGGGGAUCAAACAGG